rnacentral:rRNA from 1 species
GUAGGUGGCGAGCGUUGUCCGGAAUCAUUGGGCGUAAAGGGAGCGCAGGCGGGCAUGUAAGUCUUUCUUAAAAGUGCGGGGCUCAACCCCGUGAUGGGAAAGAAACUAUAUGUCUUGAGUACAGGAGAGGAAAGCGGAAUUCCCAGUGUAGCGGUGAAAUGCGUAGAUAUUGGGAGGAACACCAGUGGCGAAGGCGGCUUUCUGGACUGCAACUGACGCUGAGGCUCGAAAGCCAGGGGAGCGAACGGGAUUAGAUACCCCGGUAGUCCUGGCCGUAAACGAUGGAUACUAGGUGUGGGAGGUAUCGACCCCUACCGUGCCGGAGUUAACGCAAUAAGUAUCCCGCCUGGGGAGUACGGCCGCAAGGCUG